rnacentral:rRNA from 1 species
CGUGUAGGCGGUUUGUUAAGUCUGAUGUGAAAGCCCUGGGCUCAACCCAGGAAGUGCAUUGGAUACUGGCAGACUUGAAUACGGGAGAGGGUAGUGGAAUUCCUGGUGUAGGAGUGAAAUCCGUAGAUAUCAGGAGGAACACCGGUGGCGAAGGCGGCUGCCUGGACCGAUAUUGACGCUGAGACGCGAAAGCGUGGGUAGCAAACAGGAUUAGAUACCCUGGUAGUCCACGCCGUAAACGAUGAGAACUAGGUGUUGCGGGUAUUGACCCCUGCAGUGCCGCAGCUAACGCAUUAAGUUCUCCGCCUGGGAAGUACGGUCGCAAGACUAAAA